AAGUCGUAACAAGGUCUCCGUUGGUGAACCAGCGGAGGGAUCAUUACCGAGUUUUCAACUCCCAAACCCAAUGUGAACCUACCCAUCGUUGCUUCGGCGGAACGCCCCGGCGCCCUCGCGGCCCGGACCCAGGCGCCCGCCGGAGGCCCCAAACUCUUGUUUCCCCAGCGGCAUCUCCUCUGAGUGGCACAAACAAUGAAUAAAAACUUUCAACAACGGAUCUCUUGGUUCUG
rnacentral:misc_RNA from 1 species